rnacentral:misc_RNA from 1 species
AAGGAUCAUUAUUGAAUAAAUCUGGCGUUGGUUGUAGCUGGCUCUCCGGAGCAUGUGCACACCUCGUCACCUUUAUCUAUCCACCUGUGCACACAUUGUAGACUUGGAUACCUCUCGCCGCAAGGCGGAUGCGGAGGUUGCUGUGCUGUCGCAAGACGGUCGGCUUCACUCUGAAUUUCCAAGUCUAUGUACCUUUACACACCCCAAACGAAUGUUAUAGAAUGUAAUCACAAGGCCUUGUGCCUAUAAAAGUUAAUACAACUUUCAGCAACGGAUCUCUUGGCUCUC